GAAAUGGCCCUGGAGGAAAUUCGAUCUUUGAAUCAAGUGAACAUUUAUUCGGAGAAGACGGAUUUAGACCAGAAGAAUGCUCUGUGACAAUGCAACCUGUUCCUUCUACCCCUCAAGAAACUCUCUCUGUUAGCAGCCUUUCUCAAGGUGUGCUAUCCGUGUCAUCUGUGGGUUCCUGCUGGAAGAGGGCUGAGCCUGGCAGAUCAGUGUUCUUCAAGCUCAGAGUCAUUGGUGUACAAUAUUGUGAUUUCAACAAUUCUACACAUCUCAGUGCUCAUCAAGAUAAGUGUAUUCUUAAUCAUCUACGUAUUUCCCCCAUUCCCCUACCUCCCCUCUGGUAACCAUCAGUUUGUUCUCCAAAAUUAAGAGUCUGUUUUUUUGUUUGUCU